rnacentral:rRNA from 1 species
ACGGGUGAGUAACGCGUAUGCAACCUACCUAUCAGAGGGGAAUAACCCGGCGAAAGUCGGACUAAUACCGCAUAAACAGGGGCACCGCAUGGUGAUAUUUGUUAAAGAAAUUCGCUGAUAGAUGGGCAUGCGUUCCAUUAGGUAGUUGGUGAGGUAACGGCUCACCAAGCCGACGAUGGAUAGGGGAACUGAGAGGUUGGUCCCCCCACACUGGUACUGAGACACGGACCAGACUCCUACGGGAGGCAGCAGUGAGGAAUAUUGGUCAAUGGGCGGGAGCCUGAACCAGCCAAGUCGCGUGAAAAGGAAGAAGGAUCUAUGGUUCGUAAACUUCUUUUGCAGGGGAAUAAAGUGCAGGACGUGUCCUGUUUUGUAUGUACCCUGAGAAUAAGGAUCGGCUAACUCCGUGCCAGCCGCUGC